AUGUACACCUGGCUGUCUAGAGGUGAGUGUGUCAGUCUCUCCCCCCCUUUGGUCCUGACAUCCAGCCCUCCUCUCUCUCUCUCUCUCUGGUCCCCAGCCCUUCUCUCUCUCUCUCUCUCUGGUCCCCAGCCCCUUCUCUCUCUCUCUCUCUCUCUGGUCCCCAGCCCUUCUCUCUCUCUCUCUCUCUGGUCCCCAGCCCUCCUCUCUCUCUCUCUGGUCCCCCAGCCCUCCUCUCUCUCUCUGGUCCCCAGCCCUCCUCUCUCUCUCUCUGGUCCCCAGCCCUCCUCUCUCUCUCUCUGGUCCCCCAGCCCUCCUCUCUCUCUCUCUGGUCCCCAGCCCUCCUCUCUCUCUCUCUGGUCCCCAGCCAUCCUCCUCUCUCUCUCUGGUCCCCAGCCCUCCUCUCUCUCUCUCUCUCUGGUCCCCAGCCCUCCUCUCUCUCUCUCUCUCUGGUCCCCAGCCCUCCUCUCUCUCUCUCUCUCUCUGGUCCCCAGCCCUCCUCUCUCUCUCUCUGGUCCCCAGCCCUCCUCUCUCUCUCUCUGGUCCCCAGCCCUCCUCUCUCUCUCUCUGGUCCCCUGCCCUCCUCUCUCUCUCUCUGGUCCCCAGCCCUCCUCUCUCUCUCUCUGGUCCCCAGCCCUCCUCUCUCUCUCUGGUCCCCAGCCCUCCUCUCUCUGGUCCCCAGCCCUCCUCUCUCUCUCUCUCUGGUCCCCAGCCCUCCUCUCUCUCUCUCUCUGGUCCCCAGCCCUCCUCUCUCUCUCUCUCUCUCUGGUCCCCAGCCCUCCUCUCUCUCUCUCUCUCUCUGGUCCCCAGCCCUCCUCUCUCUCUCUCUCUCUCUCUGGUCCCCAGCCCUCCUCUCUCUCUCUCUCUCUCUCUAUGGUCCCCAGCCCUCCUCUCUCUCUCUCUCUCUCUAUGGUCCCAGCCCUCCUCUCUCUCUCUCUCUCUCUCUGGUCCCCAGCCCUCCUCCUCUCUUUCUCUCUCUCUCUCUCUGGUCCCCAGCCCUCCUCUCUCUUUCUCUCUCUCUCUCUCUCUGGUCCCCAGCCCUCCUCUCUCUCUCUCUCUGGUCCCCCAGCCCUCCUCUUCUCUCUCUCUCUCUCUCUGGUCCCCAGCCCUCCUCUCUCUCUCUCUCUCUCUCUCUAUGUCCCAGCCCUCCUCUCUCUCUCUCUCUCUCUGGUCCCCAGCCCUCCUCUCUCUCUCUCUCUCUCUCUGGUCCCAGCCCUCCUCUCUCUCUCUCUCUCUCUCUGGGUCCCCAGCCCUCCUCUCUCUCUCUCUCUCUCUCUCUGGUCCCCAGCCCUCCUCUCUCUCUCUCUCUCUCUCUCUCUCUCUCUGGUCCCCAGCCCUCCUCUCUCUCUCUCUCUCUCUCUCUCUGGUCCCCAGCCCUCCUCUCUCUCUCUUCUCUCUCUCUCUGGUCCCCAAGCCCUCCUCUCUCUCUCUCUCUCUCUCUCUCUGGUCCCCAGCCCUCCUCCUCUCUCUCUCUCUCUCUCUGGUCCCAGCCCUCCUCUCUCUCUCGCUCUCUCUCUCUGUCCCCAGCCCUCCUCUCUCUCUCGCUCUCUCUGGUCCCCAGCCCUCCUCUCUCUCUCGCUCUCUCUGGUCCCCAGCCCUCCUCUCUCUCUCUCUCUGGUCCCCAGCCCUCCUCUCUCUCUCUCUCUGGUCCCAGCCCUCCUCUCUCUCUCUCUCUGGUCCCAGCCCUCCUCUCUCUCUCUCUGGUCCCCAGCCCUCCUCGUCCUCUCUCUCUCUGGUCCCCAGCCCUCCUCUCUCUCUGGUCCCCCAGCCCUCCUCUCUCUCUGGUCCCCAGCCCUCCUCUCUCUCUGGUCCCCAGCCCUCCUCUCUCUCUCUCUCUGGUCCCCAAGCCCUCCUCUCUCUCUGGUCCCCAGCCCUCCUCUCUCUCUCUCUCUGGUCUCCAGCCCUCCUCUCUCUCUCUCUGGUCCCCAGCCCUCCUCUCUCUCUCUCUGGUCCCCAGCCCUCCUCUCUCUCUCUGGUCCCCAGCCCUCUCAAUUCAAUUCAAUUCAAUUCAAGGGCUUUAUUGGCAUGGGAAACAUGUGUUAA
rnacentral:lncRNA from 1 species